rnacentral:RNase_P_RNA from 1 species
GGGCGCCAGACGGUCGCAGGCGCGUCAGCGCUUGAGGAAAGUCCGAGCACCGCAGGGCAGGGUGCCGGUUAACUGCCGGUGGAGGCGACUCCAAGGAAAGUGCAACAGAAAUAGUCCGCGAAUCUUCUUCGGAAGACGCAAGGGUGGAAAGGCGAGGCAAGAGCUCACCCGCGGCCUGGCGACUGGCCCGCGCUGUAAACCCCACCUGGUGCAAGAUUGAUAGGGAAGCAUGGGGCGGAACCCUCGGGUUUCCCCCGGCGGCGGCCCGUCGCGCUUCCGGGUAAUCGCUAGAGCCUGCUGGCAACCGCAGGCCCAGAUAGAUGACCGUCCAAUACAGAACUCGGCUUACAGACG